AUUGAACGCUGGCGGCAUGCCUAACACAUGCAAGUCGAACGAGUGGCGGAGGGGAGAGUAAUGUCGGGGAAACUGCCUGAUGGAGGGGGAUAACUACUGAAAACGGUAGCUAAUACCGCAUAACAGUAGAUGUUCCCAGAUGGGAUUCGCUAGUUGGUGGGGUAUCGGCUCACCAAGGCGACAGUCCAUAACUGGUCUGAGAGGAUGACCAGCCACACUGGAACUGAGACACGGUCCAGACUCCUACGGGAGGCAGCAGUGGGGAAUAUUGCACAAUGGGCGCAAGCCUGAUGCAGCCAUGCCGCGUGUAUGAAGAAGGCCUUCGGGUUGUAAAGUACUGUCAGCGGGGAGGCGUUACCCGCAGAAGAAGCACCGGCUAACUCCGUGCCAGCAGCCGCGGUAAUUC
rnacentral:rRNA from 1 species